GAUGAAGAACGCAGCGAAAUGCGAUAAGUAAUGCGAAUUGCAGAAUUCCAGUGAGUCAUCGAAUCUUUGAACGCACAUUGCGCCCUUUGGUAUUCCGAAGGGCAUGCCUGUUCGAGCGUCAUUAUCACCCCUCAAGCCCUCGGCUUGGUGUUGGACGGUUUGGUGGAGGCCCCCUCGGGGGCUCCUGCCCCUCCCAAAGACAAUGACGGCGGCCUCGUUGGACCCCCGGUACACUGAGUUCUUCACGGGACACGUAUCGGACACAUGGGUUUACGGGAAACGGUCUGCCUCCCCUCAGGGAGAAUCUUUCUACGGUUGACCUCGGAUCAGGUAGGGAUACCCGCUGAACUUAAGCAUAUCAAUAAGCGGAGAA
rnacentral:misc_RNA from 1 species